rnacentral:rRNA from 1 species
UAAUACCAGCUCUCCGAGUGGUGUGGAUGUUUAUUGGGCCUAAAGCAUCCGUAGCUGGCUAGGUUAGUCCCCUGUUAAAUCCACCGAAUUAAUCGUUGGAUUGCGGGGGAUACUGCUUGGCUAGGGGACGAGAGAGGCAGACGGUAUUUUCGGGGUAGGGGUGAAAUCCUAUAAUCCCGGGAAGACCACCAGUGGCGAAGGCUG